ensembl:miRNA MIR1263 microRNA 1263
CUACCCCAAAAUAUGGUACCCUGGCAUACUGAGUAUUUUAAUACUGGCAUACUCAGUAUGCCAUGUUGCCAUAUUUUGGGGUAGCA